rnacentral:ncRNA from 2 species
CGAGAAUAGUGGGGGGACCAGUGAAGCUGGUUGAGAUUGUAUCCUUAUCAGAUACUGACCCUUGGAACCUGAUCUGGCUGAGACCAGCGUAGGGAACAUAUUCUAAACGGUA